CUUCUGUAUUAGGUUAAUGGAUGAAAUACAUGCAUGUGAUAUGGGAAAUUUACACGCAAAAACAAAACAAAACAAAAUACAUGACAGACAGUAGCUGCCAAGAACUGUACAUACACAAAAUGCAGGGUCAAGGGAAGGUGCUAAUUUCACCAUCCUUUUUCUUUUUGAUCAUCCAAUGGUUUUUGGUCUUGCCACAUAACAUAGACAAAGUCCAAAUUCAACUCAGAAUUACAUUAUGUGUCCAUAGGCAGUGUAUCUACAUGCUGUAUAUGUGCUUUUUUAAUAUCAUGAACGUGUGGAAGUUGAAACCCUCACGUAUAUAAAGUUAUAUUCUUGUGAUCAGGGUCAAAAAGAGCACACACUUUUUCCAGAAAACUUGACUGCCUCUGCUUGCUCCCCAAGCCUAUACAUCUUGAAGAAAUUUCCAAGUUUAUUCUUACCUUCAGUUCUCUAUAAAUAUACAAGUUAUCUCGUGUUUCCCUUCAAACCCAUAAUAACCAAGUUAUUAUAAUUAUUUUCUGUUCCUCGCCAUCUAUUUUAAACUCUCCUUCAAAUUCACUGGAAAUGGCAUUCAUGUCAAGUUUUAUAAGUUGCUUUCUUCCCUCGUCAUCCUCUCGAGUCUCUGAUGGUGCAGCGGUCUCCAGUGGGAAGUCAUCAUCAUCAACAAGUGCUCCAAUUAUAGUUUCUUACUUCCCCACCAAUUCAUAUCUCUCGCGCUUGUAGUGAAUUUCCUGCAGUACAGCAGACGUUACAGAAGUAGAACAUUCUGAGUCCUGAUGACCUUUAAGAGUUUCUUUAUUUUUAGUUUUUAGAUGGAAUAAGAUAUUAGAAAUUCAAUUUUGACUUGUUCAUAUCUGUUGUUAUCUUAUCUCUGUUGUAAUAAACUCACAAUCACACAAAUAUCUCUUGUGUUAAAUAUAUUACAGUAUCAAUCAAUUCACAAUCUAUCAGAUUCCAAUAUAUAUAUCUAUAUAUAAUAUAUAUAAUAAAGAAAUGUUUAACAUCCAUAUAGCAUAUUAUAUGAAUCCUGAGG
rnacentral:lncRNA from 1 species